rnacentral:lncRNA from 1 species
CUUCUAGUUUACUGAUGCUUACCUGUCUUCUCUUGUCUAUUGAUGAGCCCAUCAAGAACAUUCUUCAUUUCUGUUGCAAUGUUUGUAAUUUCUUGAAUUUCUUUCUUAUUUUUUCUUAGAGUUUUUAAUCUGUCUAUACAUCACUCAUCCGUUCUUGCAUGUUGUCUGCUUUUUCCAAUAGAGCACUUAGCAUAAUUGCCGUAAUUAUUUUUAAUUCCCAAUCUAAUCAUUCUGAAAUCUCUGCUAUAUUUUAGUUGGUUUCUGAUGCUUGCUUUGCCUCUUCAGAAUAUGAUUUUUUUUUUUUUUGAGACAGGGUCCCACUUUGUUGCCCAGGCUGAAGUGCCGUGGCCCGAUCAUGGUUCAUUGCAGCCUCAACCUCUAGGACAAAAGAGAUCCUCCCACCUCACUCUCCAAAGUAGGCAUUUGGUGAACUGCUUUUGAUGUUGUGCCUCAUACAAUUAGAAUCUGCCAGAAAAACAGUUUGGAAACUGUCAUGAAGAUCAUACCUUAGAGAAGAGGACUACAAAAUGCUGGCUGAUGACAGGGGAUCAUUCCAGGCCAACUGGAGCCAGGCCAAAGGAAGGAAAGGGCACAGGAGGCAUGGGUGGUGUAGGCAACCUGGGCAGUGGUGGCUCCAGAAGAGCCCAUCUCCAGUAGGGCUCUGGAUCAAGGAUGACAUGAUAAGGCCCAUCCCGUAUUAGACAUACUCAUUGGCUCAGGGGUUCAAGGCCACUGUCAUGUAAUUUCUGAACAUUAAUUAAUGCCACGGACAUCUCCUCUAUGUAACCCUCCUAUUUUUAAAGCAAACCUCCAAUCAGAGGUCUUAUAAAGGGAUUGAUUUGGUAUGUCAAACAAUUAAUAUCAUAAGGAAAAAUAAACACACAACAUAUAACUCUAUGCCUUGGACAUUUUAAACUCCACUGGGAGAAGCUGUUUCCUCAUUGGGAAAAUAUUUUAAGAAAGUUAAUUCCACGGUGUAUAUGUGCCACAUUUUUCCAAUCCAGUCUAUUAUCAAUGGGCAUUUGGGUUGAAUCUGGAGAACAUCAUCCUCAGCAAACUGACACAAGAACAGAAAAUGAAACACUGCAUAUUCUCACUCAUAGGUGG